GACGAACGCUGGCGGCGUGCCUAAUACAUGCAAGUCGAACGAACUCUGGUAUUGAUUGGUGCUUGCAUCAUGAUUUACAUUUGAGUGAGUGGCGAACUGGUGAGUAAUACGUGGGAAACCUGCCCAGAAGCGGGGGAUAACACCUGGAAACAGAUGCUAAUACCGCAUAACAACUUGGACCGCAUGGUCCGAGCUUGAAAGAUGGCUUCGGCUAUCACUUUUGGAUGGUCCCGCGGCGUAUUAGCUAGAUGGUGGGGUAACGGCUCACCAUGGCAAUGAUACGUAGCCGACCUGAGAGGGUAAUCGGCCACAUUGGGACUGAGACACGGCCUAAACUCCUACGGGAGGCAGCAGUAGGGAAUCUUCCACAAUGGACGAAAGUCUGAUGGAGCAACGCCGCGUGAGUGAAGAAGGGUUUCGGCUCGUAAAACUCUGUUGUUAAAGAAGAACAUAUCUGAGUGUAACUGUUCAGGUAUUGACGGUAUUUAACCAGAAAGCCACGGCUAACUACGUGCCAGCAGCCGCGGUAAUACGUAGGUGGCAAGCGUUGUCCGGAUUUAUUGGGCGUAAAGCGAGCGCAGGCGGUUUUUUAAGUCUGAUGUGAAAGCCUUCGGCUCAACCGAAGAAGUGCAUCGGAAACUGGGAAACUUGAGUGCAGAAGAGGACAGUGGAACUCCAUGUGUAGCGGUGAAAUGCGUAGAUAUAUGGAAGAACACCAGUGGCGAAGGCGGCUGUCUGGUCUGUAACUGACGCUGAGGCUCGAAAGUAUGGGUAGCAAACAGGAUUAGAUACCCUGGUAGUCCAUACCGUAAACGAUGAAUGCUAAGUGUUGGAGGGUUUCCGCCCUUCAGUGCUGCAGCUAACGCAUUAAGCAUUCCGCCUGGGGAGUACGGCCGCAAGGCUGAAACUCAAAGGAAUUGACGGGGGCCCGCACAAGCGGUGGAGCAUGUGGUUUAAUUCGAAGCUACGCGAAGAACCUUACCAGGUCUUGACAUACUAUGCAAAUCUAAGAGAUUAGACGUUCCCUUCGGGGACAUGGAUACAGGUGGUGCAUGGUUGUCGUCAGCUCGUGUCGUGAGAUGUUGGGUUAAGUCCCGCAACGAGCGCAACCCUUAUUAUCAGUUGCCAGCAUUAAGUUGGGCACUCUGGUGAGACUGCCGGUGACAAACCGGAGGAAGGUGGGGAUGACGUCAAAUCAUCAUGCCCCUUAUGACCUGGGCUACACACGUGCUACAAUGGAUGGUACAACGAGUUGCGAACUCGCGAGAGUAAGCUAAUCUCUUAAAGCCAUUCUCAGUUCGGAUUGUAGGCUGCAACUCGCCUACAUGAAGUCGGAAUCGCUAGUAAUCGCGGAUCAGCAUGCCGCGGUGAAUACGUUCCCGGGCCUUGUACACACCGCCCGUCACACCAUGAGAGUUUGUAACACCCAAAGUCGGUGGGGUAACCUUUUAGGAACCAGCCGCCUAAGGUGGGACAGAUGAUUAGGGUGAAGUCGUAACAAGGUAGCCGUAG
rnacentral:rRNA from 1 species